UACGUAGGGUGCAAGCGUUGUCCGGAAUUAUUGGGCAUAAAGAGCUCGUAGGCGGUCUGUCACGUCGGCUGUGAAAUCCCGAGGCUCAACCUCGGGUCUGCAGUCGAUACGGGCAAACUAGAGUAUUGCAGGGGAGACUGGAAUUCCUGGUGUAGCGGUGAAAUGCGCAGAUAUCAGGAGGAACACCGGUGGCGAAGGCGGGUCUCUGGGCAGUAACUGACGCUGAGGAGCGAAAGCGUGGGGAGCGAACAGG
rnacentral:rRNA from 1 species